rnacentral:rRNA from 1 species
GACAGAGGAUGCAAGCGUUAUCCGGAAUGAUUGGGCGUAAAGCGUGCGCAGGCGGUUAUAUAAGACAGUUGUGAAAUCCCCGGGCUCAACCUGGGAACUGCAUCUGUGACUGUAUAGCUAGAGUACGGUAGAGGGGGAUGGAAUUCCGCGUGUAGCAGUGAAAUGCGUAGAUAUGCGGAGGAACACCGAUGGCGAAGGCAAUCCCCUGGACCUGUACUGACGCUCAUGCACGAAAGCGUGGGGAGCAAACAGG